rnacentral:rRNA from 1 species
AAACCAACAGGGAUUACCUCAGUAACGGCGAGUGAAGCGGUAACAGCUCAAAUUUGAAAGCUGCCAACAGGCCGCGUUGUAAUUUGUAGAAGCUGCUUUGGGUAUUGGCCCGGUCUAAGUUCCUUGGAACAGGACGUCAUAGAGGGUGAGAAUCCCGUAUGUGAUCGGUGCCGGCGCCCGUGUAAAGCGCUUUCGACGAGUCGAGUUGUUUGGGAAUGCAGCUCAAAAUGGGUGGUAAAUUUCAUCUAAAGCUAAAUAUUGGCCAGAGACCGAUAGCGCACAAGUAGAGUGAUCGAAAGAUGAAAAGCACUUUGGAAAGAGAGUUAAACAGUACGUGAAAUUGUUGAAAGGGAAGCGCUUGCAACCAGACUUGCGGGCGGUCGAUCAUCCGAGGUUCUCCCCGGUGCACUCGAUCGUUCUCAGGCCAGCAUCGGUUUCCGGGGUGGGAUAAAGACGGUGGGAAUGUGGCUCUUCGGAGUGUUAUAGCCCACCGUGCAAUGCCGCCACCGGGGACCGAGGACCGCGCUUCGGCUAGGAUGCUGGCGUAAUGGUUGUAAGCGAC